GACGAACGCUGGCGGCGUGCUUAACACAUGCAAGUCGAACGGUAAGGCCCUUCGGGGUACACGAGUGGCGAACGGGUGAGUAACACGUGGGUGAUCUGCCCUGCACUUUGGGAUAAGCCUGGGAAACUGGGUCUAAUACCGAAUACACCCUGCUGGCCGCAUGGUCUGGUGGGGGAAAGCUUUUGCGGUGUGGGAUGGGCCCGCGGCCUAUCAGCUUGUUGGUGGGGUGAUGGCCUACCAAGGCGACGACGGGUAGCCGGCCUGAGAGGGUGUCCGGCCACACUGGGACUGAGAUACGGCCCAGACUCCUACGGGUGGCAG
rnacentral:rRNA from 1 species